UGCUUGAAAAACUAAUGGCAGAGCAUCUGAUGCUGGAAGAGUAUCAGAUGCCUGAAAAAAAUCUGAUGUCAGAAAGGCUUAAAGAAUGUCUGAUAAUGGAAGAGCAUCAGAUGCUUGAAAAUGGAAAAGCAUUAGAUUCUUCAAGAAACGUGUGAUAACAGAUGAGUGUCUGAUGAUGGAAGAACACCUGAUACUUGACGAGCGUGGAUGCUAAAAAAUGGUCUGAGGCUGGAAGAUGUCUGAAAAAAUGUCUGAUGACAGAAGGACGUCUGAUGAUAGAAGAGAUUCAGAAUGAAUGAUGGAAGAGCAUCAGAUUCUUGAAGAAACAUAUGAUAACAAAUAAGCAUCCGAUGAUGGAAGAGCAUCAGAUUCUUGAAGAAACAUCUGAUAGCAGAAAAGCAUCUGAUGACAAUAGAAUGCCUGAUGCUUGACGAGCGUCUGAUGUUUGAAAAGGGUCUGAUGAAGGAAAAGCAUCAGAUUCUUGAAGAAACUAUCUGAUAACAGAUAAAUGUCUGAUGAAGAGCAUCUGACGAUUAAAGAACAUCUGAUUCUGGAAGAGAAUCUGAUGAGAAAAGAACGUCUGAUAACAGAAGAGUGUCUGAUUAGAGAAGAAAGUCUGAGGACAGAAGAACAUCUGAUGUUUAAAAAAUGUUUGUUGACACAAGCGUCUGAUGACAGAGUGCAAGUGUUUCAGGCAACGUUUUCAUUAAUUCAUAUUGAGUUCCACUUUCGACCUCAAGUAAUUAAGCAGAUUUUCUUAAACUGCAGGAUCAAAGCAACAAAGCAAGCAGUUUUUUUUUUUUUUUUUAGAUUUGCUUCAUGCUCAAAUAUAAUUUCAACAGCUGAGACCGGAAACAUCACAUGACAGCAGUGAGAAAAGCCAAAGGCUUCACAUUAACAUGCUGAGCUCUAAUCACCAGGAAAAUAGAAUAACAUUUGCAUAUGCUAAACAUAGAUCAUUAUUAGUAAAAGAGAGAGAGGACACUGUGAACGUACAGAACUUCAAACAGAAGAGCUGCCCUAGAAUUCACAGCGACGAUCUUCAUGUGCCCUUCUAUCACAACUACAAGUGUCAGGGUCCUGCUAUAUUUAGGAAACUUAAAUAAUGCUCAUUAACAGGAUUAAUGCAAAGGUUGAAGUCAUUACACUGUACAAUUCAGCAGUAAAUCUUCGCAGCCACCCCACAGAUGAAACAGAUGAGUAAUUAUUGUGUCAUUGAACUGAUUAAAGAGAACACAGGUCCUCGAUUUCAUCGCAUAUUAAUAGAGCUUUUUAAUAUUUCAUGCUUAAUGUGAAUGAAUCGGACUCUGUAUGAGGAAG
rnacentral:lncRNA from 12 species